AAGGAAAAAAAAACCUAGGAAACAAUAGCAACAGAUCGUGUUCAUCUCUCUUGUCAACAAAAAUACAAAAGAUUGUUCAUCUCUUCACUCCUUCAAUUCAAUCUCCUUCUCUGCACCACUCCUCCUCAACAUAUUCUGCCACUGGGUUAUUCAAUGGCUUUGAGAAAGGUGUUUUGGAAUGAUCUUCUUCUAUAUGAAAAAUUGGGUGGGUAUUGUCUUAGGAACUUUGGAAGAUUCUAUGCUACUAAAGUGGAUUUGAGGAAACUACGACCCAUGAUUGUUAAGAGAAUUGAGAGACGUUCUCAAUUUUACCCUGUUCGUGAUAUGAUUCCUGUUGCAAAUGAAGUCUUACUUGCUAGGAAUGUUCUCAUUCAUGGUGUUUCUACUCUCCUCAAUUCGUUUCCUCUCAUGGCUUGCAAAUUUUGUCCAGAGAUAUAUAUUGGUGAGCAGGGACAUUUAAUAGCAACUUGCCGGGGUUACAAGCAUCGUGCCAAGAACCGGGUUCACGAAUGGGUCAAAGGCGGUUUGAAUGAUAUACUUUUUCCUGUUGAGACAUUUCAUCUUAAUAACAUGUUCCAAAGUGUUAUUAGGCAUGACCAAAGGUUUGACUUUGAUCGGAUCCCUGCUGUUGUUGAGCUAUGCUGGCAAGCAGGGGCUGAUCCCCACGAUGAAAAUCUUAACUCAAGUAGUGGGAACUUGGAGGCUAGUAAUGGCAAUGUCGAUGGUACCGAGUCUUUGUCACCAAAUGAUCUUGCCGUAAUUGCAAAGAAAACUUUAGAAGCUUGGGAGACUCUCAGGUCUGGGGUGGAGAGGUUGAUGUUUGUAUAUCCGGUAAAAGUUUGUAAAUAUUGUUCAGAGGUUCAUGUUGGGCCAUCUGGCCAUAAAGCUAGGCUCUGUGGAGUGUUCAAGUAUGAGAGUUGGAAAGGAGCUCAUUUUUGGACGAAAGCUAAUGUGGAUAAUUUAGUGCCGCCAAAGAUCGUGUGGAGACGAAGGCCUCAUGAUCCUCCUGUACUUGUGAAUGAAGGGAGAGACUUCUAUGGGCGUGUUCCAGCUGUACUGGAUUUGUGCACAAAAGCCGGUGUCAUUGUUCCUGCAAAGUAUAAUAUUUUGAUGAAAGUGCAAGGUCUGUCUGGUCCAGUCAAUUAUAAAAUUUGACAGGGGCAUUAGAGGAUCAAACAACAAAUUGAAUCGUAAUCGCUAAUCGGACACACAAUUGUUUGGGGAAGAAAUCUGAGAUGACAUUACUUUCAUCUGCAAUUUCCUGCAUAAUUUGAGGUUGUCUGGGAUAUCUGAAUAUGGAUCUCUGUGACUGUUCUUCUGUUGGUUAAAGAAAUAUACUUUGUUCCAGACCAUAUCUCCUAAAAUAUUUCUGCAGAGCUUAUUAGAAUCUCUACAUUUAUGCAUGGCUGGACUUAAUGGACCCGCUCCAGAUUUGAUGAAGAAAACCUUCCGCCUUGAUUUGCUACUUAUCUAGGGGAGACUAGAGGCAAUAGCAAAUGAUUUAUAGGAUAGGGAUGAGAUUCUUAAACAGCUUGCAGCAGUGGAUCCAAAAACAAACAAGUCAUUCUGCGAACUAAAAUAGGAGAGAUGUGUCUAGUAGAGGUCACACCAUUAUUCUAUACCUUAACAAAGGUUCUCAAGUUCACUCAAUUUUCCACGUUUCUCUGGAUGCAAUGGAAAUCCGUCCAACCACCUACGUUGUUAUAGAUAUAGGCAUGUAGAACAGUUAUUGGUAGGGUUUGGGGGGCUUUUAAUUCAUUGAUUGAAGGAGCAAACUUGAGGAAAUGCUGAAAGGUUGCAUGUAUUUUGAUUAUGAAGAAGAUAUAGUUGCACUGAGAAGUUCUGUUCUAUAUUUGCUGAAUCACUUGCAUUAGCACAAAUAUCCUUUAACACAUUAUUUUU